GAAAACCUUACCAUUCAUUGCAGAGUGGAUCAGUCACCACUGAUGGGUGGUUAAAGCUAAUAGCACCAGCUCAAACCGCGGUUUUGUUCAAAGAGCUCCGCUUAACCCUCCAUUCCAUUCUCAAAGAUCUCAUCCGAAAACCUGAGAAAUUAUGUAUUGUCCACAACGAAAUCGUCAAAGCUAUGGUCCAUCUUCUUAUAGAAGAAGGCAAACCGCAACACACAUGAACUAAAUAUUACGCCAGGAAAUGAAGAUCAAACUGUGUAAAUUAGAAAAUAACUCUUUAUUUUAGUAACUACUAUUUUAUGGCGGUGGAUUCAGAUCACCGGUGGUCAACUGUCUAACUAUUUCCUCAAUUGUAAAUUAAGUGUCC